UGGGGAAUAUUGCACAAUGGGCGAAAGCCUGAUGCAGCAACGCCGCGUGAGUGAAGAAGUAUUUCGGUAUGUAAAGCUCUAUCAGCAGGGAAGAUAAUGACAGUACCUGAAUAAGAAGCCCCGGCUAACUACGUGCCAGCAGCCGCGGUAAUACGUAGGGGGCAAGCGUUAUCCGGAUUUACUGGGUGUAAAGGGAGCGUAGACGGCGAAGCAAGUCUGGAGUGAAAAUCCGGGGCUCAACCCCGGAAGUGCUUUGGAAACUGUUUUGCUAGAGUGUCGGAGAGGUAAGUGGAAUUCCUGGUGUAGCGGUGAAAUGCGUAGAUAUCAGGAAGAACACCGGAGGCGAAGGCGGCUUACUGGACGAUAACUGACGUUGAGGCUCGAAAGCGUGGGAAGCAAACAGG
rnacentral:rRNA from 1 species